rnacentral:rRNA from 1 species
GAGUUUGAUCGUGGCUCAGAACGAACGCUUGCGGCGCGCCUAAUACAUGCAAGUCGAACGAGGUAGCAAUACCAAGUGGCGCACGGGUGAGUAACGCGUGGAUAAUCUGCCUAUCAGUGGGGAAUAACUAUCCGAAAGGAUAGCUAAUACCGCAUGAGGCCACAGUUUCUGCGGAAACAGGGGUUAAAGAUUUAUCGCUGAUAGAUGAGUCUGCGUGGGAUUAGCUAGUUGGUGAGGUAAUGGCUCACCAAGGCUACGAUCUCUAACUGGUCUGAGAGGAUGACCAGUCACACUGGAACUGAGACACGGUCCAGACUCCUACGGGAGGCAGCAGUAGGGAAUAUUGCGCAAUGGGGGAAACCCUGACGCAGCGACGCCGCGUGAGUGAUGAAGGCCUUAGGGUCGUAAAGCUCUGUUGAAUGGGAAGAAACAAAUGACGGUACCAUUCGAGAAAGGACCGGCUAACUUCGUGCCAGCCGCCGCAGUAAG